rnacentral:lncRNA from 1 species
CUAGUGCCCGAGAUUGUUGGUUUGUGGGUGGGUGUGAUGUGGUGGGGCGUUGUGUUUUUUGUUUUGUUGUUGGGGUUUUUUUUGGGAGGUGGUGUUUUUCUUUUUUUUUUUUUUUUUUUUGAGGUUGGACUCAGUGAUCUCAGAGGUCCCUUCCAACCGUGGUGAUUCUGUGAUUCUGUGCAUCCAUUUGCUACGUAAGCAAAUUGCUUACCUUACCUUUGUCAUCUCAGUCAGGCCUAAGUUGCUUGUAUUAGUUGUUGUGGAGAAUGCUAGAUAACCUCAUUUACCUGUGAAGGCAAAAAUGCCCUACCUAGCAUCUGUCAUAGCAGCAGUUUAAUCACAAAAGCUAGAGCUCUUCAUAAGCUAUUGCCACUGUUUAAAUGAUUUUGUAUUCCAGAAAGCUGAUUUGGACGUCAUUCCUCCUAUGUAUUACUCUUUGGCUAAUAAUAUGCUCUGUUGUUAGAAAUGAUUCCAGGCUGCAGGGAGCAAAUUUCUAUUGACCGCCAGGGAAAUUCAGAUCCAGACUUGGACUUUGAAACUAAUUGCACUUUUAAAUUACAAGUAAAAAAAAGUGAAAAAAAGCAACAGUUAAAAGCAUGUGAUGGGAAUAGAAACGAGCACAUCUAUCUGAACGUGAAACACAGCCCUUCUUCCAAGAAAGAGAUGAUGAGAAGACAAACAACAGAGGAGAACAAGAACAUCAAGAACAAAGAUUCUCCUGUGUCACGUACUACCUGCUGGAUUAUCACAGUCACCCUAGUGAUCCUCUUCUUGGCAGUGCUGGGGACAGUAGUGGGUUUUAUUAUCAAGGGUAAAUUUCACUGAAUUUCACUGAAUUUCACUGAAUUUUUAGAGUUGGAAGGGACCAUAGAGAUCAUCUAGUCCAACUCCCCUGCUGAAGCAGGAUUGCCUAGAGCUAGAGCAUGUUACUCAGGACAGUGUCCAGGUGGGUCUUGAAAAUCUCCAAGGAAGGGGACUCCACACCCUCCCUGGGCAGCCUGUUCCAGGGCUCUGUCACCCUCACCGUGAAGAAGUUUCUCCUCAUAUUUGAGUGGAACCUCUUAUGUUCCAACUUAUGCCCGUUGCCCCUCGUCCUCUCGCUGGGAACCACUGAAAAGAGUCUGGCUCUUCUUUCAAUCUCCUCCAUUGAAAACAUUGGAUUUGAAUUUAGAGCUUCGUCAGGGAGCCAAACAGAGCUCUUGAAAUCCGCUCAGGGGUCCAAGAAAAGCAUGGAAGUACCUUUUAUCCAUUAAUAAGGCUUGCUUCUUUUUUUUCUGAGAUUUUUAAUUGUUAAGCUUGGUCUAGUUAGACCUGCCCUCAGAAUGAACAAGAAAGUAAGGGGUAGAUGCCUUUGGAAGAUCAACUGAGUAGAUUUCAGUGUACAGCAAGCACACUGUGUUGGGUGCUCAGCCACUCGAGAAUAUUUACAUCCUAACGAGUACAGCUCCAGGCUGGAGGUCAUAAUCUGAAGGCCCAUUUCUUUUCUGUGGAUUUGGACAUCAGUGCUGUGAGACAAUGAACCCUGAGGUGUUCAGGUGCCAUCCACGGGCUAAUAGCAUCAGCUGGUCUCCUGGAAGGAGAAGGAGGGUUCUUCAAACUGCAAGACCUCCAUGACCAGCAGCUGUUAUAAAAUGAUUCUUGUUUUUAGGAGAUUUAGGCCUUUUGACCAGGCUGUCAUGAAAUGCUAUGAAGCAGCAGUACUUCAGAAAUGGCUACAGGAUGUGCCCUAGCAGUGGCCCAGCGCUAGUGGUGGAGCCUGUGUGGAAAUGGGUGACCUGCCACAAACUUGUCAGGUUGCCAGGGCUUCGUCUAUCCCAUUGAAUAG